rnacentral:snRNA from 1 species
GUGCUUGCUUCAGUGCACAUUUACUAAAAUUGGAAUGAUACAGAGAAGAUUAGCAUGGCCCCUGCACAAGGAUGACAGGCAAAUUCGUGAAGUGCAUUAUU